GAUGAACGCUAGCUACAGGCUUAACACAUGCAAGUCGAGGGGCAGCAUGGUCUUAGCUUGCUAAGGCCGAUGGCGACCGGCGCACGGGUGAGUAACACGUAUCCAACCUGCCGUCUACUCUUGGACAGCCUUCUGAAAGGAAGAUUAAUACAAGAUGGCAUCAUGAGUCCGCAUGUUCACAUGAUUAAAGGUAUUCCGGUAGACGAUGGGGAUGCGUUCCAUUAGAUAGUAGGCGGGGUAACGGCCCACCUAGUCUUCGAUGGAUAGGGGUUCUGAGAGGAAGGUCCCCCACAUUGGAACUGAGACACGGUCCAAACUCCUACGGGAGGCAGCAGUGAGGAAUAUUGGUCAAUGGGCGAGAGCCUGAACCAGCCAAGUAGCGUGAAGGAUGACUGCCCUAUGGGUUGUAAACUUCUUUUAUAAAGGAAUAAAGUCGGGUAUGGAUACCCGUUUGCAUGUACUUUAUGAAUAAGGAUCGGCUAACUCCGUGCCAGCAGCCGCGGUAAUACGGAGGAUCCGAGCGUUAUCCGGAUUUAUUGGGUUUAAAGGGAGCGUAGAUGGAUGUUUAAGUCAGUUGUGAAAGUUUGCGGCUCAACCGUAAAAUUGCAGUUGAUACUGGAUAUCUUGAGUGCAGUUGAGGCAGGCGGAAUUCGUGGUGUAGCGGUGAAAUGCUUAGAUAUCACGAAGAACUCCGAUUGCGAAGGCAGCCUGCUAAGCUGCAACUGACAUUGAGGCUCGAAAGUGUGGGUAUCAAACAGGAUUAGAUACCCUGGUAGUCCACACGGUAAACGAUGAAUACUCGCUGUUUGCGAUAUACAGCAAGCGGCCAAGCGAAAGCGUUAAGUAUUCCACCUGGGGAGUACGCCGGCAACGGUGAAACUCAAAGGAAUUGACGGGGGCCCGCACAAGCGGAGGAACAUGUGGUUUAAUUCGAUGAUACGCGAGGAACCUUACCCGGGCUUAAAUUGCAGAUGAAUUACGGUGAAAGCCGUAAGCCGCAAGGCAUCUGUGAAGGUGCUGCAUGGUUGUCGUCAGCUCGUGCCGUGAGGUGUCGGCUUAAGUGCCAUAACGAGCGCAACCCUUGUUGUCAGUUACUAACAGGUUCCGCUGAGGACUCUGACAAGACUGCCAUCGUAAGAUGUGAGGAAGGUGGGGAUGACGUCAAAUCAGCACGGCCCUUACGUCCGGGGCUACACACGUGUUACAAUGGGGGGUACAGAGGGCCGCUACCACGCGAGUGGAUGCCAAUCCCAAAAACCUCUCUCAGUUCGGACUGGAGUCUGCAACCCGACUCCACGAAGCUGGAUUCGCUAGUAAUCGCGCAUCAGCCACGGCGCGGUGAAUACGUUCCCGGGCCUUGUACACACCGCCCGUCAAGCCAUGGGAGCCGGGGGUACAAGAAGUGCGUAACCGCGAGGAG
rnacentral:rRNA from 1 species